rnacentral:rRNA from 1 species
UACGAAGGGGGCUAGCGUUGUUCGGAAUUACUGGGCGUAAAGCGCACGUAGGCGGACUCUUAAGUCAGGGGUGAAAUCCCGGGGCUCAACCUCGGGACUGCCUUUGAUACUGUGAGUCUCGAGACCGGAAGAGGUGAGUGGAAUUCCUAGUGUAGAGGUGAAAUUCGUAGAUAUUAGGAAGAACACCAGUGGCGAAGGCGGCUCACUGGUCCGUUUCUGACGCUGAGGUGCGAAAGCGUGGGGAGUAAACAGG